rnacentral:rRNA from 1 species
UACGUAGGUGGCAAGCGUUGUCCGGAGUUACUGGGCGUAAAGCGCACGCAGGCGGUCUGCUAAGUUUGGAGUGACAGUUGGUGGCUUAACUGCCAAAGUGCUUCGAAAACUGACAGACUUGAGGGCUUCAGAGGGACACGGAAUUCCGGGUGGAGUGGUGAAGUGCGUAGAGAUCCGGAGGAACACCAAAGGCGAAGGCAGUGUCCUGGGGAGUACCUGACGCUCAGGUGCGAAAGCCAGGGGAGCGAACGGG